GUACACAAAAAUGCACAUAUUGUGAGCUCGAUGAGUAGGGCGGGACACGUGGUAUCCUGUCUGAAUAUGGGGGGACCAUCCUCCAAGGCUAAAUACUCCUGACUGACCGAUAGUGAACCAGUACCGUGAGGGAAAGGCGAAAAGAACCCCGGCGAGGGGAGUGAAAAAGAACCUGAAACCGUGUACGUACAAGCAGUGGGAGCCUCUUAAUGGGGUGACUGCGUACCUUUUGUAUAAUGGGUCAGCGACUUAUAUUCUGUAGCAAGGUUAACCGAAUAGGGGAGCCGAAGGGAAACCGAGUCUUAACUGGGCGUUAAGUUGCAGGGUAUAGACCCGAAACCCGGUGAUCUAGCCAUGGGCAGGUUGAAGGUUGGGUAACACUAACUGGAGGACCGAACCGACUAAUGUUGAAAAAUUAGCGGAUGACUUGUGGCUGGGGGUGAAAGGCCAAUCAAACCGGGAGAUAGCUGGUUCUCCCCGAAAGCUAUUUAGGUAGCGCCUCGUGAAUUCAUCUCCGGGGGUAGAGCACUGUUUCGGCAAGGGGGUCAUCCCGACUUACCAACCCGAUGCAAACUGCGAAUACCGGAGAAUGUUAUCACGGGAGACACACGGCGGGUGCUAACGUCCGUCGUGAAGAGGGAAACAACCCAGACCGCCAGCUAAGGUCCCAAAGUCAUGGUUAAGUGGGAAACGAUGUGGGAAGGCCCAGACAGCCAGGAUGUUGGCUUAGAAGCAGCCAUCAUUUAAAGAAAGCGUAAUAGCUCACUGGUCGAGUCGGCCUGCGCGGAAGAUGUAACGGGGCUAAACCAUGCACCGAAGCUGCGGCAGCGACACUAUGUGUUGUUGGGUAGGGGAGCGUUCUGUAAGCCUGUGAAGGUGGCCUGUGAGGGUUGCUGGAGGUAUCAGAAGUGCGAAUGCUGACAUAAGUAACGAUAAAGCGGGUGAAAAGCCCGCUCGCCGGAAGACCAAGGGUUCCUGUCCAACGUUAAUCGGGGCAGGGUGAGUCGACCCCUAAGGCGAGGCCGAAAGGCGUAGUCGAUGGGAAACAGGUUAAUAUUCCUGUACUUGGUGUUACUGCGAAGGGGGGACGGAGAAGGCUAUGUUGGCCGGGCGACGGUUGUCCCGGUUUAAGCGUGUAGGCUGGUUUUCCAGGCAAAUCCGGAAAACCAAGGCUGAGGCGUGAUGACGAGGCACCACGGUGCUGAAGCGACAAAUGCCCUGCUU
rnacentral:rRNA from 1 species